CUCUUCGAUUUUCGGCACCCCAAAACCCAUCCCCUUCCCCAACAACUUCGUGAUUGGUGCGAGAUUGGUGGAGGAGUUUGUGGCCAUUGAUGCGAAUGGUGCGAGAUUGGUGGAGGAGAUCUCGGCGGCGGUUUUUGGGGUCGAGGUUGGUUGUGUGGGUGGUUUUGGGGGUCAGCGGUGGAUUAGGUGAGGUGCUAAAGGGCCGGCCGACUGAUUUUUGUUGGUUACGAAGGUGGCCGGCCGUUUUCCGGCUAUAUAAGGGGAGUGGCAGGGUUUUGGGGUGAUGGCUGGGGUGGUUCAAUGGUUUCUGUUUUUUUUUAAAAAAAAAAAUUUUGGUUUUUUUUGUUUUUUUUUUUGUUUUUUUUUAAAAAACGGACCAAUCAAAAAGUGACACGUGGCAAGUGGUGGGGUCCACUAACAGUCAACUAACGGCUGUCAGUCAUUAAUGGCACUUGGCAAAUUUUGUUAAAACUCGGUGGCAUUUGAUGAAUUUUGAAAAGUCGGAUGACAUUUGGUGAAUUUUACAAUUGCUCAGUGGCAUUUCAUGAAAUAACCGGAAAAAAAUACAGUACUGGCCAAAUGAGAUUGCAUAAGUGGGAGGCUGGGAGCUAUAAGUCAUAGAAAUUUAGAAAUAGUAGAUGAUGCAAGAAUCAAGAUAACUUCCAAACCCAAGUGUACUACACUAUCUAAUCCAAUUUACUAUGCAAUCUUGUUUACCCUUUCAUUUCUUGUUUCCUGAACAACCCACAACUUUUCAAUAAAAUUAAACUUAAUAUUGCCUUCCGUUUUAUUUUUUCCACUUUCCAUCAUUUUUUCCUCCUCUUCUCACACUCCCCUCUUUCUUUCAGCCCCUGGUAUACUUCAAUAGAAAAACCCCUCAAAAAAAAUCCACUCCUUUCUUUUUCAAAUCACAAUAUCUUAAUCAUGUUUUGAUCUGGGUCUUUAAAUUUUUCUUUACCCAGAUCAUAAUUUUCAACCAACUCUACCAAUCUUAUUACUUUUUGCCAAAAUUAAACUCAAUUUUUUUUUUUUCUUGUUGGGUUUUUUAAUUAAUAACAUUUUGAUUAUCCCCUUUCAUUUUAAUGAUGGUUGUCAUCUGUUGAGGCUUGUUAAUCCAUCGUCUUGAGCUUUAUCCAAGUUUCUUCAUCAUGGUUAGAGGUAGAGGAAAAGGCAAGAAGCAGACUGCUGUUACAGCUCACAAUGAUGUAGAGAACGCGAAAGAUGAGAACAUUCCGGCAUCUAAGAGAAGGGGGAGGCCACAGAAGCCACUGAAGGAUGAGGUCGAAGAUGUGGAGAGUGCAAAGAUAGCAAACGGUGAAGAAAAUGCUAACAGUUCAAUGACAAGUAGAAGCUCAAAAGGUCAAUUUACUGCUGUGAGUGGAACAAAAAGGAAGAAUUCAUCACAAGUGCUGGAGAAUUUAGAUUCCAUCAAGGAGAAAAAUGGUGCAGAAGCAAAGUCUAUUACGGAGGGUUUUGUGAAAUCAGUAGGGUUUAGACAAAUUGGAAGCAGGAGAAAAAGCAAGCCUCAUCGUGCUGCUGAAGUUGGUGUAAAAUGCAAAUGAAAUGGAAGCGUCUGCUAUGACUUUCAGCACCCUCAUUUUGUGUUGGCAUAUGGUUUAUGCUGAGGGUCGACCUGUAUUGGCUCAUUUUUCGUGUUCAGCAUUUUCUUAGUUUCAGUUUCUUGUGAAUUGUUCAAGCUCAAUCCCCCUCCAUGGAGAUUGUGGUUUUAUUUUGAUGAACAUAAUUUGCUGAUUUCGAAUUUGGAAGAAUUUUAAGCAAUGUAUAGUUUCAUUAGUCAUUUGGAUGACAUCUAUUACUGUUUAAUUCCAUUUCCUGUUGCCUAAUUUUUAAACAGCCAUUCAACUCUAUUUUUUUUUUCCUCGUCAGAGCAUCUGAGGAUAAUGUUAAACGUGUCUGUGUAGAUAUUGCGAGUUGAACACUGAAGCAUAAGCAGCAGUUGCUAGAGGUAAUUAGCUAUCUGAACAAGCUGUGAACAAUUGAGCUUUUUUGAUGCAGGAUGUUGUUUGAUAAAAAAAAAGUUUGGUUGGAAUUCAUCCGACAACAACUGUUGCACAAGCAUUUUAGCUCAAGAUUUUGCCCAAGGUAGUAAAAAUAUUUUCUGGAUGAACCGAUGAAGUAAGUUGCUACCCCCCCACCCCACGCCCCACAUCAUUAUUCUAUACUGUCUGACCAUUUAGCUGAUAUUUACUCUAUGUCAUCUUUUAUUUUACUGGUUACCAGGUUUACUUUAAAUUACAAUGCAAGAACUACUAUUUUUUUUUGGUUGUGUGCAUAAAACUUACAUGGGAGUGGUGGGAGUAAAACCAUCCUUGUAGUUAGCUCUUCGAUUUUUAAUGAUAUUUUACUGUCGUCCCUGCUCCUUUUUUUACAGGGACUUCCUCUAGCUAAAUGCUUUCCUCGCUGAAUUAGUGCUCUGUACUUCUGUUUGGCCCUAAGUUUUCGACCUGCCUUUGGCAACACAAGCAUGACUCAUGAAUUAUUAAUCUCCUACGAUUUUCCUCUUUGGAUGAAUGGUGCUAAGCUGUUAACAAUCAACAGAGUUUUCAGGUUAGGUCAUCCCGAAUUCCAAAUCAAGAUUCAAGAAGCUAGGUGUGCUACAAUGAUCGUAAUUUGUAUUUCUGCUGCAUAAAGUGUUUCGCUUGCACAAUUAUCCUAAGCUUCCCCAUUUAGCCUCAUCGUUCUACUGUAUGAUACUAUGAUCUGUAAUUAUCAGCAACCCACGCAAGGCAAGCUUUAAAUCAUUUAAGGUUAUGCUCUUACUUUACUCAUUUCAUCACCUACUGUGAGAACAAAUUUCCUCCUUAUUCGCUCAUUAAUAUUGUGGCCAUUUCAUGACGUUAUUGUGAAACUACUCAAUUAUGCAGUGUAGUUGUAUAAA